ensembl:lncRNA
CUUUCUUUCAUUUUUUCCCCUCUCUUUCCAGAAACAGAUUGCACAACGCAGCAGUGCGAAUGUACAGAGCUGUAAGGGCUACAAGUGAGGGCUGCGCACCUAAUUGUCGUAAAGACAGAAAUGGGGUUGGGCUGGUUUGGGGUUCCGGAGGUUUCUCUGCUCUGUGUGCUUUUGUUCCACUGUUGUUCUGAGUUGCUAUGCAUUUGGUUGUGCAAGUACACAUGGAUUUCUAAGUAUUGCUAUGCAGGCCUGUCUGUGGUAUUGAGAGUGGUGCAAGCACUGCCGAGUUGGUGUGUCUGUAACAAUCUAUAACAACAAGCUGUGAAGCUAUACUUAGACAAUUUGUGUGUGUGUGUGUGUGGGGGGGGUGUGUGUGUGCGCACACACAUGUAGAGAACGGAAGUGUUGCAAUUUGGUAUUGUGCAGGGUGGUUGUGAUUGUUUUUACUGUGGACCUGCAAGAUGUUUACGUGUUUACUACUGUGCAGUUCCGCAGUAGUGGAGCUUAUGUCUUUAAUUUAACCAUGUUUAGGUUGUAAACAUGUAUUCAGACAUAGCUAAUGAUCAGGUAAGUGCCCUGUGUGUGUGUGUGAGUGUGUGAGUGUGUGAGUGUGUGAGUGUGUGAGUGUGUGAGUGUGUGUGUGUGUGCGUGUGCGUGUGCGCGUGUGGUUAAACACAGCACUAUUAGGCAGAGGGGGUGGUGAGGUUGUGUGUGAGGUAAGUGUGUGUGUGUGUGCGUGUGCGCGUGCGCGCGCGCGUGUGUGUGUGUGUGUGUGUGGUUAAACACAGCACUAUUAGGCAGAGGGGUAGGUGAGGUUGUGUGUGAGGUAAGUGUGUGUGUGUGUGAGUGUGAGUGUGUGUGUGUGCGCGUGCGCGUGCGUGUGCGUGCGUGUGUGUGUGUGUGUGUGUGUGCGCGUGCGUGUGUGUGUGUGUGGUUAAACACAGCACUAUUAGGCAGAGGGGUGGUGAUGUUGUGUGUGAGGAGUGUGCGUGUUUCCUUGCUGCCCAAUCCCCUCUUGUUUUGGUCUCUCUGUCAGUUCCCUCACUGCUGCUCCAUGAAAACAACUUCUGACUUUGAAGCCAACAGUGAGGGGCUGGACCUGGGGGAGGUGGAGCUCUCUCUCUCUCUCUCUCUCUCUCUCUCUCUCCCUCUCUCCCUCUCUCUCUGUCUCUUUGUGUUUGGCACACACACACACACACACACACACACACACACUACUACACACACUCUUACCCCC